AGAGGUUGCUUUUGGCUCAGGAUGAACGCUAGCUACAGGCUUAACACAUGCAAGUCGAGGGGAAACGACAUCGAAAGCUUGCUUUUGAUGGGCGUCGACCGGCGCACGGGUGAGUAACGCGUAUCCAACCUGCCCACCACUUGGGGAUAACCUUGCGAAAGUAAGACUAAUACCCAAUGAUAUCUCUAGAAGACAUCUGAAAGAGAUUAAAGAUUUAUCGGUGAUGGAUGGGGAUGCGUCUGAUUAGCUUGUUGGCGGGGUAACGGCCCACCAUGGCAACGAUCAGUAGGGGUUCUGAGAGGAAGGCCCCCCACAUUGGAACUGAGACACGGUCCAAACUCCUACGGGAGGCAGCAGUGAGGAAUAUUGGUCAAUGGACGAGAGUCUGAACCAGCCAAGUAGCGUGCAGGAAGACGGCCCUAUGGGUUGUAAACUGCUUUUAUAAGGGAAUAAAGUGAGUCUCGUGAGACUUUUUGCAUGUACCUUAUGAAUAAGGACCGGCUAAUUCCGUGCCAGCAGCCGCGGUAAUACGGAAGGUCCGGGCGUUAUCCGGAUUUAUUGGGUUUAAAGGGAGCGUAGGCCGGAGAUUAAGCGUGUUGUGAAAUGUAGAUGCUCAACAUCUGAACUGCAGCGCGAACUGGUUUCCUUGAGUACGCACAAAGUGGGCGGAAUUCGUGGUGUAGCGGUGAAAUGCUUAGAUAUCACGAAGAACUCCGAUUGCGAAGGCAGCUCACUGGAGCGCAACUGACGCUGAAGCUCGAAAGUGCGGGUAUCAAACAGGAUUAGAUACCCUGGUAGUCCGCACGGUA
rnacentral:rRNA from 1 species